rnacentral:SRP_RNA from 4 species
UCGCGCUAAGCGGGGAGGUGGCGGUGCCCUGUACCUGCAAUCCGCCAUAGCAGGGCUGAACUCCGACUCGCGGCGCGCUCCCUGUGCGAAACGCAGGCACGCGCUCGUGAGGAUCAUCGGGACCUCCGCAACGGAGCGACGGCGAACCCCGCCAGGUCCGGAAGGAAGCAACGGUAAGUCGUUCCCCCGUGUGCCGGAGUUAUCCCGGUGGGAGCGAGCAGCGACCUGACGCCGCGGAGGGAGGCGUCAACAGUCGGUGCGCGA